rnacentral:rRNA from 1 species
GACGAACGCUGGCGGCGUGCUUAACACAUGCAAGUCGAACGGAAAGGCCCUGCUUUUGUGGGGUGCUCGAGUGGCGAACGGGUGUGUAACACGUGAGUAACCUGCCCUUGACUUUGGGAUAACUUCAGGAAACUGGGGCUAAUACCGGAUAGGAGCUCCUGCUGCAUGGUGGGGGUUGGAAAGUUUCGGCGGUUGGGGAUGGACUCGCGGCUUAUCAGCUUGUCGGUGGGGUAGUGGCUUACCAAGGCUUUGACGGGUAGCCGGCCUGAGAGGGUGACCGGCGAGAUGAGGUAGGGGACGCGGGCCAGAGUGGGAGGAGGGGAGGGGGUGGGAAGGGUGGCACGGUGGGGGGGAGUCGGAGGCAGCACCGGGGGGGUGGGGAGGGCGGCUCUGGUGUGGUACGCCGCAUGGGCGGGUGGCGGGGGGGGGGAAGGGGUAAGGGGGAAGGAACCGCCGGGUAACCAGGGCGGAGCGGCCGCGGGAAGAGAGGGAAUAGCCGACGUCUGAAC